GCGCCCGUAGCUCAGUUGGAUAGAGCACCAGACUACGAAUCUGGGGGCCGGAGGUUCGAAUCCUUCCGGGCGCGCCA
rnacentral:tRNA from 1 species